UAAAAAUGUUUGAACAAUUGGAUUUCAAACAUUUUCGUUUUGUGGAGUGGUGCUCACCAAGUGGUACAGCCCUAAGCAAGUGAACACAAACACAUUUAAGUGUAUUUUGUCUGAUUAGAUGUUAGCCAGUUAUGCUAUUUCAUUCAAAUGUCUGAAAAAAUCAAUUGACUAUUCCCUUUUCCUAAAGGGCAGAGACAGAUAAUCUCACUUCCAGAGAAAUGACUUGGAGAAAAAAAAGUGUUGGUCUUUUUGCUCUUUUGUAAUUAAAUCCGGAUGUACCUCAAAAGACUUAAGACUGUGGUGAUAAGAUGCUUUCCUCAGCAGAAAGGAGGGAAAAAAAACAACUGGAACUCAAAGCUUGAAAUUCUGUGGCAAAACAUGAGAUGUCCAGGAUUGGAGGUUGAAAAGAUUUCACUACAGUGUUCUGCAAUAGUUGGAGCAGAUAACUUUCAGUGUAGCCACAGCCAUGGACUCCAGAUUUCCAGAUUUUCAAGACCUGGACCUGGAACCCGAAAGAGCUUGUCACGAUGCGGCAGGAACACUGGAGGUAGAUUUUUUUUUAUUUUUGAAUUUUGGGACUGUUGACCUUGCUGUGAGAAAAGAGACAACGACUGAGCAAGCACUACCACCAGCACUGUUACUGGGAAUUAGAAGACCUGAGUUUCUGUCCAGACCCUCAGUGCAAACUGAGGAUGCUCCAUCCAAAGUGAAUUAUGGUACUUGCCAUUUUCCAAAAUGCCUUAUCCUUUACCAUCUCUGCACUUUUGUUCAUACUCUCAUUCUACUUUGGAACUGCUGCUCUGUGGCUUUUCAUCUGUCAAAACUGCCAUUUUCUCAGUAUCCAACUCUUAUGCCCUCUUUUCCAUGAGUCUCCUAACUAGCCAGAAUAGAGCUUUAAAGUUUUAUGACAUUUCGUUAUGUAUCCUCUAUCUGUAUACAAAAUCCUGUAAAAUAGUUACUUGCCUGCAUUUACUGUCUUUGCAGAUAGCAGACUCCUUGAAAGCAGGGUCCUUGUUUAGUGCAUCUUUGCCCACAUACACCACAACAUAUCAAGAUGCAUUUAUUAGGAAGGAGGAGUUUAGAGAGCAGGCUAUCAGAAUAACCACUCAUCCUGUGCCUCCUGAUUGCUGAGUGUUCACCUGGACCUUCUGACUACCUUCCCUGUGCUAUUCCAUCAGCCUACAGACCUGGUACCUGGAUUUUUGCCCGAGAUGAUUCCUACCACCUUACUACUGACGAAGACACCCAUUCCAGUGGACCACUGUGACCCAGGAGGCAUUCAGCCAUCAUGAUGUGGCCUUUACCUCCACUCCUGUCUUGUUCUACCCAGAUUCAGCACAGCCCUUUAUAGUGAAGUCAGAGUCCUCAAGCCAAAUAGCUAAAGCUGUUUUAUCACAACAAAGGCCUAGUUUGUUCCAUGAGUGUGCAUUUCAUUUCUUCAGUUAAAGCCUUCAGAGACACACAAUAAAUUUGGACCAGGGGAUUUUUUAGUUAUUAAUGCUCUCUGAAGAAAGGCAACAUCUUUUUGAGAGCAGCAUUGGACCACACCCCACAAUCUCAAAUGAUUGAAAUUCAUGAACAUCUAGGAUCCCGUGAAGGUCACUGGACCCUGUUUUUUCUACUUCAAAUCCUGUAGUAGCCUACUGAAUGAGAAAACAUAUUCUGACCCAUUGGGAUCAAAUCAAAGGCACAGUGAACUCCUCAUAGCAUCUUCUUUGGAAUUACUCAGGAACCAGAACUUUUUACACAAAUGUAAGAAAUUCUACCAAGGAGUCCCCUUACCUAACAGCAUCUCACAAGGCUGCACCAGAUUCCAGAAAAGGCUUCUCUUGAUACAUCAAGCAUUUUGUGACCGACUUAUUCUUAGAUCAUUGGUUUUCCAAAGGCUUUGUGGCCAUGAAGCCCUUUGAGUGAAAACUGUGCAGAAGCCCAGAGUAAAAGUGAAGCUGCUCUGGAUGAAGUAGUGAAGCAAGAGUAGGGGCCUGAAUCCUGCUACAACUAUCUUCCUUUACCACCGUGGUGACACCUAAGGGGACUUCCUUACAACACCUUGAACUCUUCCGAACACAGUUUGAAAACCACUGCCCCAGACAGCAAUAUGUUUGACCUGAAUGGCAUUCCAAUCUUUUCUGUACCUCCACUCAGCACAGUUCAUGUUCAGUAGAUGCUGAACAUUCUUAGAAAUACUGUGUGUGAACUUAGAAAAGUGCAAGAAGACAGGCAUGUCUUUGACCCCAGGAAUGAUCAUUUGCUGAAGAUGGUGUCAAGUGAACCUAGAUUAACAGCCCUCCACUCCAGAUGGAUAUCCAGUGAUUCCUAGAAUGGGAUAUAGCCAGAGAACAAUUCUAUGCACCCUACACUGACAGACUCCCUUAAGCAACACCAGAUGCUCUACUGGUACUUGAAGUACAUGACUUUGAAGUCUUGACCCUCCAUGAAUACCUGAAUUAUCAGCAAGCGGGUUUUGAAGCUGGUGCCUCAUUGAGGCCAUAUUAGAGCAACUUGUACAUUUGACCUCUUGUUAUCAGCCAUGGUACUCUACUUCGUGUGCAAGAGAUAACUAUGAAAGCCAAAUUCAAAUACUGGCAACAUUUCCUAAAGGGGCUCAAUAUCUAUCAUUCGUCUUCUUUUCCAAACUACACAUCACUGUAUGACUCAACCAGUAGCAGUUAUAUUGCCCCUUGGUUUUUAUUCAGUUUAACUACUGUUUCCAAGAUAAAUGAGCUAAUAAGCUUUAAAAAAAAAAAAAAAAAAGGCUGAAUUCUUUUUUCUUCAUCACUGGCAUAU
rnacentral:lncRNA from 1 species